rnacentral:rRNA from 1 species
GUGGGGAAUUUUGGACAAUGGGCGCAAGCCUGAUCCAGCAAUGCCGCGUGCAGGAAGAAGGCCUUCGGGUUGUAAACUGCUUUUGUACGGAACGAAACGGUCCUGGUUAAUACCUGGGGCUAAUGACGGUACCGUAAGAAUAAGCACCGGCUAACUACGUGCCAGCAGCCGCGGUAAUACGUAGGGUGCGAGCGUUAAUCGGAAUUACUGGGCGUAAAGCGUGCUCAGGCGGUGCUGUAAGACAGGCGUGAAAUCCCCGGGCUCAACCUGGGAAUUGCGCUUGUGACUGCAGUGCUGGAGUACGGCAGAGGGGGAUGGAAUUCCGCGUGUAGCAGUGAAAUGCGUAGAUAUGCGGAGGAACACCGAUGGCGAAGGCAGUCCCCUGGGCCUGUACUGACGCUCAUGCACGAAAGCGUGGGGAGCAAACAGGAUUAGAAACCCCUGUAGUCC